GGGGAUUUAGCUCAGUGGCGAAAGUGCCUGCCUGGCAAGCAGGAGGUCAUGAGUUUGAUCCCUG
rnacentral:tRNA from 1 species